rnacentral:lncRNA from 1 species
CUGGGCAAUGGCGGGCGCCCCUCCCCCCGCCUCGCUGCCGCCUUGCAGUUUGAUCUCAGACUGCUGUGCUAGCAAUCAGCGAGACUCCGUGGGCGUAGGACCCUCCGAGCCAGAGAUGGGAUCUUACUACAUUGCCCAGGCUGAAGUGCAGUGGCUAUUAACAGCUGUAAUCAUAAUGCAUUGCAGCUUUGAAUUCCUGGGCUUGAGCGACCUCCCCACCUUAGCCUCCUGAGUAGCUGAGACUACAGAUGUGCCUUGCUUCUCCUUCAUUUUCUGCCAUGACUGUAAGUUCCCUGAGGCCUUCCCAUCCAUGUGGAACCAGGCACUGUCCUAGGUACUGUGGGGACCAAAACAUUCAGACCUGCUUCUAAGGAGUGCAGUCCAUGGAAGAGUCAGAAUAACAAAUCAACAUUUGUACUACACCAGACCAGCUCUCUUCUAAGGUUGCUAUGACUUCCCAGCAGAAGGAAAUAAACUUAAGGAGAAAGAAGAAACAAAGAUGGGGCGGAAAUGUAAGAGAGGCAUUCUAAUAUAUGCAUUCUUCAUAACAACUGUGUGAAACAUAUUAAUAUCCUCAUUGUUAACGAUGAAGAAACUAAAUCUCAGGAAGAAAAACUAAGUGAAGACAAAAGAAGGAUUUGAACUGAGGUUUGUCAGACUCUCGGGACCAUGCUGUUGAAACCACUAAACCACGCUGCCUCUGGGUCACUUGGUAAACAGCAUUUAACCAUUAAGAAAGUCAUUAAUAAAGUUCCUUGUGCUCUCCUUGGAUUAUUCUGGGAGAUUCUGGGAGUCUUUUCUCCAACACUCCAGUGGCAUCUGACUAUGUGAGCUGAUAAGAUCUAUAGAUCUGUGAGUUGGCAGAGCUGUGAAAAGUUUCUCCCUUCUUAGGACAUAAGCAGGAAAUCUUGAUACAGGAAUCAAUAAGGGGAAAGAGAAAAUGUUUAUUAGAACAAAUUUAUUAUAGUCUCAGGUAUGUCUUCAUCAGCAGCAUGAAAAUAGACUAAUACAGUAAAUUGGUAUCAGUAGAAUGGGGUGCUGUGGAAAAGAUACCUGAAAAUGUGGAAGCAACAUUGGAACUGGGUAACAGGCAGAGGUUGGAACAGUUUGGAGGAUUCAGAAGAAGAGAGGAAAAUGUGGUUGCUGAACCUGAUUCUGGAAGGUACAACAAUUUCGGCCAUCUUCCUAAUCAAUACUGUGAGAUGGGACCAAAUUGAUUGUGUGGUACAUGAAGCACAGCCCAGGAAAGCCCCAGCAGUUGUUGAAAAGCAAGAGCAGGAACCGAGAGAAAGCCCCUUCUUUUAGUCGAAAACUCUUACUCUGCUUAGGAAAACCAUGAACCCAAACAGUGUGGGUCAGCCUUUCAAUAUGCAAAACGGACGAAGGCUGAAGCAAUCACAUGCCAUGCACAACUGUCAAACGGCAAGAAUGAAUGAUGGAUGGAAAGAAUGGGAAUGUGUACGUUAUCUUGCUCCACUUUGGACAGUCAUGAUCAUGGAAGAUAGAAGAGGGAUUUCUUAACAUUGGUCAGAGAAGAGGGUAUCAGUUAGCUGGAAGUGCUACUCUGAAAGACUGAUGGCCCUUUGCAGGUGUGACCCUGAGCUCUGCUGGAUUUCUUGUGAAGAAAACUCCAAGGAAUGGAUGAAUGCCUGGAAACUUACUGCUGGAAGUCAUAAGGCAAUGACAAGAAA